GUUAACUCGCAUGGAUAUACGGCCAUCACCAUGCUUGGGGUGGUGGGUGUUGUACAUUAUGUGACACACGUUUCAAACAAAAGGUGUAAUUGAAAAAUUAAAUCACAGUGCAAAGUGCCCCAGAAUUUCGAGUGAAAAUUUAAACACAUGAAAAAGAGAAAUAAAUAGUAACGACAAUUAAAUUUGAAAUAUUUUAGAAUAAUACAAAAAAGAGAGAAAUCUAUGCUGUCAUAUUGCAAAUGAUUAUAAUAAUGUAACAACAUCAAAUUGAUAAUACUGCCUGUGGGUCCUUUUAGUAGCAAAAAAAAAAAAAAAAAUUGUAAAUAUAAAAUGUCUUUUUUACGAGACAUCGGUUAAUGUUGUGACACACAACGAUAAACGUCAAAUUGUCAAAUUUAUCCCAUUUGAGUGCGGUUUCGCUAUCACAGCUUCCGGUCAGUCGUUAUUUUUCCCAUCAUUAAUCAUCUCUCCAAAAGUGUCCAAAGUCUAAAGUGUUUACUGCAAAGAGUGCUUGAUAAAGUUAUUGAUUCGUAACCAAAAAUCAAAAAAAAAAAGUCGUUGUUGCCACAAUGCUCCUGCCCACAGCUGUCACCACCAAUGGGUAGAACGGUAGAGCGAACACAUUACCAUCCUUUUGUUGGGUGGCUGCAAAGAAAAAGUUCAUCAAUAAAAAUGGCAAACAGCCUUUCGUUUUAAUGUGAAUGGGUUUUUAGAAUUUUUAAUGCACAAAGGAUACAAGAAAAACCCCUUGUUAAAAAUGAACAAUAAUGUCCUUUCAAAAGAUGAAGACUGAAUAAAGGAUUCCCAUUUUUCUCCAAGCGAGGAAUGAUAAAUUAACUUGUGGUGUGGCAAGAACGAACGCAUGGUGCUAUGAACACGAACAUAAUUAACAUUCGAUUACGUGUCAUGUUCGACAUCAAGUGACGAUGUUAAAUUCAAUGGAGUUACGUGAUGUCAUGACUCCGCAAACAUUUGGUUAAGGCAUUAAUGUCGGCAAAGACCAUUCAACCAACCGAACGUCGAACUUCUGCCACGCGGGCUUGUCCUGCGCUUGGCACAUAGUUAACGUAACGGAAACGUAAACGUGAGCAAAAUCUACGUGAGCUUGCUGGGGCGGACGCCAUUUGAAAGUGUAACUAUUUACAUCAUUUGUCAAUAAAA